CUCUGAACAAGGGGCCUCUGCUACAGCGGAGGGCACUGGGAAGACCCAACCCAGUACAGGGGAAAUGUAGCUUUCAACCCACUGUCUUGAUAAGCAAAGGCCAGCAAAGCUGUCCCUUGAUAUUUUUUGAUCCUGGGGUCUGAGUGAAGAGCGUCUGGGUGAAGAAGGUCUGUAAUACCCCUGCAGCCUUACCUUGCUUCUCUCUCGGCCUCUCACAAACCUGUCCAGUCAACUCCCAGGAUGGAGCCUGACUGUCUUCCAUCUCUAGCUUCCCUUGGCCACCCCCUCCCAGGAAAAGUGCUGUAAAAAGAAAAAAAAGGGGGGGGAUGUUAGAGAGAAAGGGGAAAUAAAGUCUUUGGAAAGCAGAGUUUUACAACAGCCACAGGUUUUAUGGAAGCAAUUCCGUAAUAACCUUCUACCUGCUCGCCUCCUUUCCGCCCCGCCUGCCACCCACCCCGUUUGGCCUUCUGGAUACCCCCUCCCCAAGAAGUCAACCACCCCCACUGCCUUGGAUAUCCUUGAUGGCUGAGAGUUCCUAAGAAGAUUCCGGAGGUCGCAUGGGGCCACUGACCUCUCCAUCCUUCCUUUCACCUCUAACAUCUUAGGAGGGAGGUUUGGCAGAAGAUUUCGUUACUUUACAAUUAAGAUUCCCACUUGGGGGAUAUGGAAACAUUGAGGUUUGACCCAGAGUGUGCAGUUUCGAUGUGAUAUCUAUUUUGGAGGCCAUUUGGAUAAAGGGACAGGCUUGGGGAUCCUGUUUCCACUGGAGAUCUAAGGGUCCUCACACUUCACUCUUUCCCAGAGUGGGUCUCUGAUCCUGGAUCAGAAGAAAUACCUCCAGUGCUUGAGAACAUAGAUUGGGGAUUUUUCUAAUUUUGUUGUACACAGCAAUGCUUCUGCAUGACCUCUACAGUUACCUGAGGACUUUCCCACUCAGCUCAUUUCUGUCUACCUUUGCUUCACACUUGUGGUGGUUAUAUGUAUGCAUAUGUAACCAUGUUACAGAGGAGUAACGGUGCCUUUACUCCUAUGCCCAUCACUACCAUGAAAUAAGCAUCACACAAUGCACACUGUUCUUGCAAUUUGGGGUAAGAUACGCAGUAAAGGAUUUCAUGGUCAGACAAAAAGUCACCAAAUUUCAUGACCUUUCCUGGGUCAAUUUGAAGCAUUUCCUUCAUCUUUUAGACAAAUAUUCUGGAAGGAAAUUGUAAUAGAAUCCAGCUUUAAGGUACAUGCAUUUGUUUGAAGAUAUGGCAUAUAUUUUUCUUGAAUAUCAAUUCAGGGCACAUUUUCAAGUGAGACUUCUAAAUCAGCUAAUAUUUUAUAGCCACAUUUCAAAUACACAAAUCCCCAGGUUUUUGCUCUCUCCAUGAGAGUGUUGAUGUUUAUAGAAAAUGUACACACAAGCUUUUGGUUCACUGAUCAUCUUAUAUGAGCAGAAUCAUUAGCCCACAUCUUUCACAAAGGUUAUGCAGGUAUCCACAUAUCCACAUAUGUAAUUAGAUCUUAUACAUGAACGCCCAGGCACAUCCAGUAUUGUAGCUGGGUAUACUUAUUUAUUAUAUAUUUACACAGUAUAGAGCACAUAACAUUUGAGUACUAGUUUCCCAUACAUAAAUAUUUAUUUGAAAUAAACAUACAGGGUGCACGUAUCUAUUCAAAUACAAUAUGCGUCAGUUUCAG
rnacentral:lncRNA from 1 species